rnacentral:tRNA from 1 species
GAUCGGGGGGCACGCCUUGGCCACGCUCGUGGCCGCCUGAAAAGCGGAAGGUCGGCGGUUCGACCCCGUCCCUGACCACCA